UGUGAACCUAAUGUAGGAUGCCUCUCCUCCGGGAGGGGGGACCUAUGUCUUCAUAUACAUCUUCGUGUAGAAAGUCUUAGAAUGUUUACUAUCAGAGAGUCGCGACUUCUAGGAGACGCGAAACUCUUGAGAUAAAAGUUAUUACAACUUUCAGCAAUGGAUCUCUUGGCUCUCGCAUCGAUGAAGAACGCAGCGAAAAGCGAUAUGUAAUGUGAAUUGCAGAUCUACAGUGAAUCAUCGAAUCUUUGAACGCACCUUGCGCUCCUCGGUGUUCCGAGGAGCAUGCCUGUUUGAGUGUCAGUAAAUUCUCAACCCCUCUUGAUUUUUUUUGAGGGAGUUUGGAUAGUGGGGGUUGCCGGAGACUAAUAAGACUCGGGCUCUCCUGAAAUGCAUUGGCUUGCGAUAGACUUUCGACUUUGCGCGACAAGGCUUUCGGCGUGAUAAUGAUCGCCGUUCGCUGAAGCGCAUGAAUGAAGGUUUCGCGCCUCUAAUAUGUCGACUCUUAUUAUCUCUUCGGAGAGAAAAGGUCUUC
rnacentral:rRNA from 1 species